AACGAACGCUGGCGGCAGGCUUAACACAUGCAAGUCGAACGCCCCGCAAGGGGAGUGGCAGACGGGUGAGUAACGCGUGGGAAUCUACCCAUCCCUACGGAAUAACGCAUGGAGACGUGUGCUAAUACCGUAUACGCCCUACGGGGGAAAGAUUUAUCGGGGAUGGAUGAGCCCGCGUUGGAUUAGCUAGUUGGUGGGGUAAAGGCCUACCAAGGCGACGAUCCAUAGCUGGUCUGAGAGGAUGAUCAGCCACAUUGGGACUGAGACACGGCCCAAACUCCUACGGGAGGCAGCAGUGGGGAAUAUUGGACAAUGGGCGCAAGCCUGAUCCAGCCAUGCCGCGUGAGUGAUGAAGGCCUUAGGGUUGUAAAGCUCUUUCACCGGAGAAGAUAAUGACGGUAUCCGGAGAAGAAGCCCCGGCUAACUUCGUG
rnacentral:rRNA from 1 species